rnacentral:rRNA from 1 species
UACGAAGGGGGCUAGCGUUGCUCGGAAUCACUGGGCGUAAAGGGCGCGUAGGCGGGUCUUUAAGUCAGGGGUGAAAUCCUGGAGCUCAACUCCAGAACUGCCUUUGAUACUGAGGAUCUUGAGUCCGGGAGAGGUGAGUGGAACUGCGAGUGUAGAGGUGAAAUUCGUAGAUAUUCGGAAGAACACCAGUGGCGAAGGCGGCUCACUGGACUGGUAUUGACGCUGAGGUGCGAAAGCGUGGGGAGCAAACAGG